GGACCAUGGCUCACUGGCAGAGCACCUGAUUCCCACACAGUCGGUCCCGGGUUCAAUCCCCAAUGGCAUCG